rnacentral:rRNA from 1 species
UACGUAGGGUGCGAGCGUUGUCCGGAAUUACUGGGCGUAAAGAGCUCGUAGGUGGUUUGUCGCGUUGUUCGUGAAAUCUCACGGCUUAACUGUGAGCGUGCGGGCGAUACGGGCAGACUAGAGUACUGCAGGGGAGACUGGAAUUCCUGGUGUAGCGGUGGAAUGCGCAGAUAUCAGGAGGAACACCGGUGGCGAAGGCGGUCUGCUGGGCAGUUGCUGACACUGAGGCGCGACAGCGUGGGGAGCAAACAGG